rnacentral:rRNA from 1 species
AGUGAACGCUGGCGGUAGGCCUAACACAUGCAAGUCGAACGGCAGCACAGUAAGAGCUUGCUCUUACGGGUGGCGGGUGGCGGACGGGUGAGGAAUACAUCGGAAUCUACUUUUUCGUGGGGGAUAACGUAGGGAAACUUACGCUAAUACCGCAUACGACCUACGGGUGAAAGCAGGGGAUCUUCGGACCUUGCGCGAUUGAAUGAGCCGAUGUCGGAUUAGCUAGUUGGCGGGGUAAAGGCCCACCAAGGCGACGAUCCGUAGCUGGUCUGAGAGGAUGAUCAGCCACACUGGAACUGAGACACGGUCCAGACUCCUACGGGAGGCAGCAGUGGGGAAUAUUGGACAAUGGGCGCAAGCCUGAUCCAGCCAUACCGCGUGGGUGAAGAAGGCCUUCAGGUUGUAAAGCCCUUUUGUUGGGAAAGAAAAGCAGCAGGUUAAUACCCCGCUGUUCUGACGGUACCCAAAGAAUAAGCACCGGCUAACUUCGUG